rnacentral:rRNA from 1 species
UACGAAGGGUGCAAGCGUUACUCGGAAUUACUGGGCGUAAAGCGUGCGUAGGUGGUGCGUUAAGUCUGUCGUGAAAGCCCCGGGCUCAACCUGGGAAUGGCGAUGGAUACUGGCGCGCUAGAGUGCGGUAGAGGAGAGUGGAAUUCCCGGUGUAGCAGUGAAAUGCGUAGAGAUCGGGGAGGAACAUCAGUUGCGAAGGCGGCUCUCUGGACCAGCACUGACACUGAGGCACGAAAGCGUGGGGAGCAAACAGG